rnacentral:rRNA from 1 species
GUGCAGCAGGCGCGAAUCUUCCACAAUGGGGGAAACCCUGAUGGAGCGACGCCGCGUGCGGGAUGAAGGCCCUAUGGGUUGUAAACCGCUGUCCAGUGGAAAGAACAUCCUCCGGCUGAAUAGGUCGGAGGCCUGACGUUACCCACUGCAGAAAGGUCCCGGCCAACUCCGUGCCAGCAGCCGCGGUAAUACGGGGGGGACGAGCGUUUGGUCCCGGAAUCA